GUCAGAAUCGCAUGCAUAUAGCUCGAUGGCAUUUUCUGUGACUUUUCUGACGCUUUCAUCAUGCUUCUCUUCAUCAGUGCAAGCUUGCUUCUCCUUUUCCGCUGUUUCAGGUUUGCAUGCAUGAAAGGAUUCUUGGCUUCUCCUUCUUCUGAGCUCAUUAGUUUCAAUGCACUGUACUUCCUUGCAAUGCUCCUCAGAAACCUCAGAUGCAGAUUGGGAGGCCACACUCUUUUGUUGGUAUUCACUUAUCCUGUCGAAAACAUGGUUACUGGGUCGUCGUGGUAGCGGCGCUGACGGUUCAUCCAUUGCUUCAUCUUGAUACGACAUAUCAUGAGUAUCUGAAAAUGAAAAUGCAUCUUCGGACAUAUUACGUGGAAAGCAAUCUGAAGACCGACUGUGUUCCUCCUGUCAGAGAGCCUCAGCAUGAUUAGAGCAUGAGACUGAUCCAGGGAGCUUGAGCUCAUUCUCCAACUUGGCAAGCUCUCUUUGAAGAUGCUUCACCAAUGCCUUGUCUGACAUCACAACAUUGACCUGUGCAUUGGUGACUACGUUUUUCGCACAGUUUGCAAACAAGAGUGUGUUCCUGGACUGCUCAAUGUGGCAGUGCGCUGGGCUCAUUGUGCAGAUGAUGGCUGUCCUCGCGUUGCCUCCCAAAGAAGACUGCAAUAUGCGAGUGAGCUUCGAGUCUCUAUAGGGAAUAUGUCCGCUUCUACCCCCGCUGCAUCAGGAAAGUUAAUGAGAAUCUACAUCAAAUGAAAGAAAUAUGGAGUUUCACACACCAAACUAGUUGGUCUGAGAGCUUGAACUUGCACUUCAACAAACCUGAGCUGCCGAAUGACCUUGCCCAGUGUAAGCAGACUCUUGUUGAUAUGACUACCCUCCUUUUGCCUCAUACCGCUUGCUGCUGUUUGUGAAGCACGCUCACUUCCUGCAAGAUCCACAAAAUUCUGCCCAGGAGGAGAAACUCAGAGGCACAUGCAUUUAACAAGAUCUAUGAAAGAACAGGGAGGGGUAUAUGAGUUCCAUACCACACAUGCCACAAGAGUGCUGGAGUUGCCUCUCCCCAAGAACUGCCUUGCUGAGCUCUCAACCGUCUGCGGAUUACGCAGGAGAUUAAGAACACGACAGUUCUUGCAGAAGAUGAAUGCAAAUCAUAAUUCAGUGUCACAGGGGACCUACCAGCCUGAGUAUUUGGUGAGACCUAGAGCUCGUUUCGUUCAUGUUAGUCUCCCCAAUCUGUCGUUGAGCUGUGGCACAACACAAAUGGAUGAGCAAAGCAGCAGUAAACCGAUGGAGCUGCUGGUGCUGAAUGUCGUUUCCAGCUUUUCAGUGGUUCAGUGAAAGAAAAGGAAGAUUCAGCUGAUCCAUACCUUCACACACCGCAAGGAGCUCCAGGAGAUGGCCUUUGUCCCUCAGCGUCUCCUCGGCAAGCAGCAAGAAUUGGUUGGCAGUUCACCUCCGGGUCAUCGAGGAGCCUGAGAGGCGUGGCGUCGGAGCUGAGGAGAUCCCUGACGGCCUCGUUGUAUAUCUCCAUGGCCGAGAACUUGAGGAUGAACUCCCUCUCAGGAUGCUGAACACAUGCACACAGACCAAAACAGAGCCCAGUUUACAUGCAGAAUGUCAGAUGUUUAU